GACGAACGCUGGCGGCGUGCUUAACACAUGCAAGUCGAACGGAAAGGCCUCUUUCGGGGGGUACUCGAGUGGCGAACGGGUGAGUAACACGUGAGUAACCUGCCCUUGACUUUGGGAUAACUUCAGGAAACUGGGGCUAAUACCGGAUAGGAGCUCCUGCUGCAUGGUGGGGGUUGGAAAGUUUCGGCGGUUGGGGAUGGACUCGCGGCUUAUCAGCUUGUUGGUGGGGUAGUGGCUUACCAAGGCUUUGACGGGUAGCCGGCCUGAGAGGGUGACCGGCCACAUUGGGACUGAGAUACGGCCCAGACGCCUACGGGAGGCAGCAGGGGGGAAUAUUGCACAAUGGGUGGAAGCCUGAUGCAGCAACGCCGGGUGCGGGAGGACGGCCUUCGGGUUGUAAACCGCUUUCGCUCAUGACGAAGCUUUGUGUGACGGUAGUGGGUAAAGAAGCACCGGCUAACUACGUG
rnacentral:rRNA from 1 species